CCUCUUGUUCGGGAUAACUGCUGGAAACGGCAGCUAAUACCGGAUAAGCUCCCCCAAUUGUAUGGGGAGGAAAGGAGGCCUCUUCAUGAAAGCUUCCGCGAGGGGAUGAGUCCGCGUCCCAUUAGCUAGUUGGUGAGGUAACGGCCCACCAAGGCAACGAUGGGUAGCCGGUCUAAGAGGAUGACCGGCCACACUGGAACUGAAACACGGUCCAGACUCCUACGGGAGGCAGCAGUGGGGAAUAUUGCGCAAUGGACGAAAGUCUGACGCAGCGACGCCGCGUGAGGGAUGAAGGUUUUCGGAUCGUAAACCUCUGUCAGGAGGGAAGAAAGCGCAUGGCGCCAAUCAGCCAUGCGUUGACGGUACCUCCAAAGGAAGCGCCGGCUAACUCCGUGCCAGCAGCCGCGGUAAUACGGAGGGCGCGAGCGUUAAUCGGAAUUACUGGGCGUAAAGCGCGCGUAGGCUGUUGUGUAGGUUGGGGGUGAAAUCCCACGGCUCAACCGUGGAACAGCCCUUGAUACUGCGCGACUUGAAUCCGGGAGAGGGUGGCGGAAUUCCAGGUGUAGGAGUGAAAUCCGUAGAUAUCUGGAGGAACAUCAGUGGCGAAGGCGGCCACCUGGACC
rnacentral:rRNA from 1 species